GUUGUGUUUGAUGAGGUAAGGAAACCAAACCUGUCUUGGCAAAGCUGGUGCAAUCAAUCCAAAUGAGCUUGGCUUGGUCCCGUGAGGACGUUUAAAGCGGUGGAGCUAGAGGAUAUGCAUGCAAUGAAGAAAGCAACUUCUAGAGAUUGGGGAUCGAGUCCCCCUUUAGAACAGAAUUUCCUGCCCUUUGUGUUGGCUGCCAUGGCUGAAAGGUUAACCUCUGGAAAUUCCCAAGCUAGGAAUAUUUAGGAAUAAAAUUCCCAAGCUGAGGUUUCAAGAGGCCAACUCCCAUUCAUAAUUUAGGGAGAAAUGUCUGCUGAGGUUGUCUGUCCAUAGUUUUGUAAACCCAUCAGGUAAGAAGCUGAGAUGACUAUUUGGCUGGCUAUGAAUAAAUUCCAACACUUUAUCGCUUCAGUGCAGAGCAAGGGGGGAACGUGCUCCACCCUGAUGAUUGAUAUAAUACAUGCAAGUUAUGUUGUCUGUCAUGAUCUUAAUGGACUUGUUUUUGAGUAGGGGAAGAAAGAGAAGACAAGCAUUUCUGACCGCUCUUAACUCCAACAGAUUAAUAUACAUGUGUUUUCCUGUUGUGAGCAUUUGCCUUGGACUGUGUGAGGACUCAAAUGUGCUCCCCAUCCCAAGAGGGAAGUGUCUGAUGUUAACAUGACCAUAGGGGGAUUGUGGUUGAAUGGGACUCCUGCACAAACAUUGGAAGGAUUCUUCUACCAGGAUCUUCCCUUAGAAGAAGUGCAGAUCUUGCACUUGCUGGGGAUAUGAGAGUCUCCAAAACAAUGUAUGUACUGGGAAUGCCCAUCGGCCAUCACCAAGGGGGAUGGCUUCUUGAAACAAGAGGAAUCCCAGACAGAAGAAAAAUUUGUUUGGACCCCUCAAUAGGGGAAAAAUUAAAACAUAAUUAUACACACACAUUUUUAAGAAAAGAAAAGCACGAACAACCAUUACAACAACUAUAAGGUUAUUAACUAAAUAUACUACUACUAAAGAACUAACUACUAAUGCAAAGCACAAAUAGGCACACACUAAACUCCAACUCUGGUUGAAGGUGGUUGAGAAGGAACUGAGGUCAGUUUGCCCAUGCAGCCCUAUAUAGCCUCAAUAUGGGGCACGAGAAUAGGUAGGGCGCAUGUGCAGGUCAAACUGGCACUGCUACCACAAAGUCGCAGGGCGCAUGCUCACCUGAAGUGGAGCACCCACAGGGACACUACUCAAAGAAGAAUCUGUGUUAUUGAAACAUUAAGCUUGCACAAGUAAGCAUUCAGUUGCUAGAAAGUGCAAAAGUUAAGGUUGGUUGUGAAACCUAACUCUGUCCCCACUGAACAUAUACAUUACAGUACAGUCUACAAGCCUGAUUCACCACUACAUUACUCAAGUUUAGCCUUAGAUUCACACUGGCGUGAAGAUGGAGUUACACACUGGUGAAUCAGGCAUUAUAAAUUUAUGAGCACAUCAUCUUAGAUCCCAGGGUGUAUUUAAGGUUGGCUAGAUAAGUGGUGAGCCGAGAUCUCUGCUUAACGUACAAUAACUUUUGCCUAAUCCUCUCCUUCCCCCACAUUUGUUUGCCUUGUCCACUGGUCCUGUCUUAGCAUAAUUUAGACUGCAAGUUCCUUGGCGUCAGGAUCAUCUUUUCAAUGGGUGUUUGUACAGUGCUAACACAAUGGGACCCCAGUUCUGGAUCGGGGUUCUUAGGCACUACUGCAAUACUAAUAAAAAAUAAAAAGAAUAAGAUUGUAGAAAAAUUGUAUUAUAUCGUGAUUCAUUAUUGAGAAAUAGUGUGCGUUCCCUUGGCUCUGCACCAAAACCUGUUUUCUGUAAAACAGGAAGCAUAUUAAAAAAAAAAAAAAAAAAAAGGCAGCAGGCACUUUU